rnacentral:pre_miRNA from 1 species
AGCUCUCUAUAUCCGUGCUGAGAUUUCGUCACACAUCAGACCACAAGGGCUGAUGAGACUUCCAAGAUAAGUGAAGCG